ACUCAAAUGAAUUGACGGGGGCCCGCACAAGCAGCGGAGCAUGUGGUUUAAUUCGAAGCAACGCGAAGAACCUUACCAGAACUUGACAUCGUCUGAAUUACUCUUAAUCGAGGAAGCCUUUCGGGGCAGAUAGACAGGUGGUGCAUGGUUGUCGUCAGCUCGUGUCGUGAGAUGUUGGGUUAAGUCCCGCAACGAGCGCAACCCUUAUUGCUAGUUGCCAUCAUUAAGUUGGGCACUCUAGCGAGACUGCCGGAGACAAUCCGGAGGAAGGCGGGGAUGACGUCAAAUCAUCAUGCCCCUUAUGUUCUGGGCUACACACGUGCUACAAUGGGUGUAACAACGAGAAGCAAGCUGGUGACAGCAAGCCAACCUCUAAAAAGCACCCUCAGUUCGGAUUGUAGGCUGAAACCCGCCUACAUGAAGUUGGAGUUGCUAGUAAUCGCGAAUCAGCAUGUCGCGGUGAAUACGUUCCCGGGCCUUGCACACACCGCCCGU
rnacentral:rRNA from 1 species